rnacentral:rRNA from 1 species
AAGGAUCAUUAUUGAGAUGUAACGGCGCCCUGUUAGUUGUUGCAAUGUAGAGUCAGUGCUGGCUUCUGAAGUAUGUGCACGCUUUACUUGUAGCUCUAACUUGGUGAUAACCGUUUCUUAUCCAUCCACCUGUGCACUUUUUGUAGGAGUUUUUAUUAGGUUGGCUUUCAAGUCGAAAGACUUUGUUAGUUGACAUAAUAGGACUUCUAUGUCUUUACAAACCAUUGAAGUAUGUCUAGAAUGUCAUUUUACUGGGACUUCAUUGACCCUUUAAACUUUAUACAACUUUCAGCAACGGAUCUCUUGGCUCUCCCAUCGAUGAAGAACGCAGCGAAAUGCGAUAAGUAAUGUGAAUUGCAGAAUUCAGUGAAUCAUCGAAUCUUUGAACGCACCUUGCGCCCUCUGGUAUUCCGGAGGGCAUGCCUGUUUGAGUGUCAUUAAAUUCUCAACUUCAAAAGUUUUUAUUAACUCAUUGAAGCUUGGAUGUGGGGGUUUGUUGGCGUCUUUAGAUGUUCAGCUCCCCUUAAAUGCAUUAGUGGAAUUCCCGUUUGGUUGGUCCAUCUUGGUGUGAUAAUUAUCUACGCUUUGCUUGGUUCAACUGUCAGGUGUGCUUAGGCUAGAUCCUGGUUGUGAUAUUGCAUUAAGUUGCUUUAUCUGAUUGUGGGAAAUUUAUCUGCUUUCUAACCGUCUGUUGUUUCAGACAAUUUCUUGACUAUUUGACCUCAAAUCAGGUAGGACUACCCGCUGAACUUAA